rnacentral:lncRNA from 1 species
CUCAGGAGCCCAUGGAAGAUUGCAACAUCUCCUGGGUUGAGGGAGCCACCCAUCCUGUGGGAAUUUGGUUUUGAAAUACAGCUGGAAUAAAUGCGGGACUCCAAGGUAGCUUGUCCAUUGCCAGACAAUGAAGAAAGGGGACUGAGGCUCACCUUUGGACUUCCUGAUUGACAUCCCACGUUCAGAUCUGGAUAUUCAGUUUUCUUGCCCUGUCUUGGUUCGUCCCGUUAUGGAGAGCGCAUCCACUAGUUCCUGGAGAAACAGAGUUCAAAGAGUCUCCUCUGUUGCCCAGGUUGGAAUGCAGUGGCGCCAUCUUGACUACAUCCUCGGCCUCCCAGGUUCAAGUGAUUCUCCUGCCUCAGCCUCCCGAGUAGCUGGGACUGCACUAUGCCUCGCUAAUUCUGUGUAUUUUUAGUAAAGACAAGGUUUCACCGUGUUAUCCAGGAUGGUCUCAAUCUCCUGACCUUGUGAUCCGCCCACUUCAGUCCCCCAAAGUGCUGAGAUUACAGGCAUGAGCCAUCGCACCUGGCCAGGGGUUGGAUUUUGAGAGGAGAGGAGUGGAAAUGUCUUCAUUCCAUCAAUUUAAAAAUCACAGAUCUGGUGAUCAAAUUGUGAGGGAUAGAUUCACAUUAUAACAACACUUGUCAGAAAUUUGUUUUAAAGCGAAUUACAGUGUAUUAAUUCAGAAGCCAAGUAAAGAUCUAAACAUUUUUAUAGUAGAGAAAAUUAAGUGAUCUUUAUGGUUAAUGUUAGCCUGUUACCUAGCCUGAUGCCACAUCCCUCAUGUAAGUAGGUACCUGCCAAAAUAAAUAGAAUAAUUAAAUUGGGAAGCCAGGAAUUACCACUGGACAGUUCUGAUAAUUCCAUUCUUCUUUCUCUAUUCUUCAUGAAUAUCUGUUAAAAAAAAGAUUGCACAAUUAUUUGAGUGAGAAAAAAAUAUUUAUGAAGUGUCUACUCUGUACCAUAUAUAGUAGUAUGCAUUAUUUCAUUACUUUUUGUCAGAUAUUAGUUACAUUUUAAAUUUAUGUCUUUUUAGUGAGAUUCCAGGGAAGUACCUUAUUUCCUGAUGAAUUUAAGGAAUUCCCAUUAUAUGCUUUACUCAUUUCCUGGGAAGACUUUCACAUGUGACCAAAUACAUUCAUUUUAUAAUGCCUUCUACAGCUUUUAUUUUAAUUGUUGAUUUUUAUGGCUUUGUUCAUAAUUCUGUGCAUAAUUUUUUGUUUACCCACAUUAUCCAUUGACUACAUACUCAAUAUUAUACAAAACCUUCACUGUUUAUUU